CAGGCUAUACUUGUAUAUCAGAUUUUCCUGAUGUAUUCAGCAGCCGGGCCGGGGGUUCUCCACAGGGUUCUCCCCUCCAGACUAGUAUGGGGUCCGCGCGGGCCACUACUGACUACCUGUCGUUGAAGGGGACCGUGGGCAGAAGCACAACUAAGGGGGCUGGAUUGAGGCAGCAUGGGGCGGGUCUCUGGAGGACCCUCCCCAUUGCCCUCACCUUGUUGGUCCGCCCCCUCCCACCUGACCCGGCUAAUCUCUUGAGGUCUGGGCGAGGAGGUUUCUCCCCACUACCUGCAGCACCAGGUUGGCAUUUUGGGGAGGCUGUGGCUUUGGCACCUGGAACAAAAGGCCUCUCGCCCCUGUGUUUUGUGCUCUGCCACACCCUCUGCCUCUGGGGCAGCCAGCAUCCCUGCUGUUGCCACAUUUCCGAGGGCGAGUUCCACGAUGGAAGGCUGCUGGCUUCCUUGCUUUCAUAUCCCCUGCCUUGGGGCACCGGAGCCCAGGCCUCCACUUCCAGCUCUGCGCCAGCCACUUCUUAAGCGUCUUUUCAGCCAGGGUGCCAAGGGUGUUGCUUCAUCUUCCUGGGUCGCAGAAUGAAGGCUAUGCAGAGGAGAGCCACAGCUGACUCUGACAAUCAUGUUGCAAGAGUGAGAAAACAUCCUUUGUGCCGUGGUUGAACUCCAUCCCCCAAUGGUAUAUUUGAAAGGAGAGCUUCAGAGGGAGUGCAUACAGUGAUUGGAAGGGAGGACACUGGCUCAUGUUCCAAGUCUUGUGUUUAGAGAUCUUCCUCCAUGAUGGAGACUUUACCUUCAUCACCAUUUCCAGUUCUUCCUCCAUGGGGCUCAGCCUGGGUCAUCUUAGUAACUUUCUCCUUCUCUGAAUUCCUAUAGAAUCUGAAAGUUUUGUGUUAGACAAUGUACCAAUUGAAUAAAGUGUGCUCAGAAGUUGGUUGUUUUUUUUUUUUAAAGCUGUGUCAAAGAGUAUGUUUUGUAUCAUAAACUAGGUUUAUAAGUUCUCUAAGGCAAGAGUCAAGUCUAUAUAAAUCCAAGUUUUCCAGAUCUCAAUUUUUUCCCUCAGUAACAUAAAAAGAAUUCCCAAGCUCUUGUCCAGUUCUGGAGUUCUGUUCUGUUUUCUGGAUGUGUUGCAACAUGAAGCUAAUUGCUAGGAAUGCUUACCAAAUAUCCAUUGGUUUGACUCAUCCUGAA